GACGAACGCUGGCGGCGUGCUUAACACAUGCAAGUCGAACGAAGAGCGACGGAAGCUUGCUUCUAUCAAUCUUAGUGGCGAACGGGUGAGUAACGCGUAAUCAACCUGCCCUUCAGAGGGGGAUAACAGUUGGAAACGACUGCUAAUACUGCAUACGAUCUAACCUCGGCAUCGAGGAUAGAUGAAAGGUGGCCUCUACAUGUAAGCUAUCACUGAAGGAGGGGAGUGCGUCUGAUUAGUUAGUUGGAGGGGUAACGGCCCACCAAGGCGAUGAUCAGUAGCCGGUCCGAGAGGAUGAACGGCCACAUUGGGACUGAGACACGGCCCAGACUCCUACGGGAGGCAGCAGUGGGGAAUCUUCCGCAAUGGACGAAAGUCUGACGGAGCAACGCCGCGUGAGUGAUGACGGCCUUCGGGUUGUAAAGCUCUGUUAAUCGGGACGAAAGGCCUUCUUGCGAAUAGUGAGAAGGAUUGACGGUACCGGAAUAGAAAGCCACGGCUAACUACGUG
rnacentral:rRNA from 1 species